CUUGAUCGAACCCAGCCAGAGCGGCUCGGCGCGGUUUUGACCGUAGGUGGCCAACAACGCUUGCGCCUC
rnacentral:antisense_RNA from 1 species